rnacentral:rRNA from 15 species
GGGUGCGAUUAUACUAGCACUAAAUCACUGGAUCCCAUUAGAACUUCGAAGUUAAGAGAGCUUGGGCCAAAGUAGUACUUGGAUGGGUGACCCCCUAGGAAGUCCUCAUAUUGCACUCC